rnacentral:tRNA from 2 species
CCACCAUCUUCAUGACGGCAGGGCACGGCGGUUGCAGCCCGCAGGGGCUUGCACUGGCGGCCUGGCGCCGCGGGUUCGAGGUGUGCAUGGUGGUC